rnacentral:rRNA from 1 species
ACGAACGCUGGCGGCGUGCCUAAUACAUGCAAGUCGAACGGUCUUUCUAUGGAAGCUUGCUUCCACUGAGAAGAUAGUGGCGAACGGGUGAGUAACACGUGGGUAACCUGCCCAUAAGAGGGGGAUAACAUCCGGAAACGGGUGCUAAUACCGCAUAGUUUUCUUGAUCACAUGAUUGAGAAAGGAAAGACGGCCUUUGUGCUGUCGCUUAUGGAUGGACCCGCGGCGUAUUAGUUAGUUGGUGAGGUAACGGCUCACCAAGACGAUGAUACGUAGCCGACCUGAGAGGGUGAUCGGCCACAUUGGGACUGAGACACGGCCCAAACUCCUACGGGAGGCAGCAGUAGGGAAUCUUCCGCAAUGGACGAAAGUCUGACGGAGCAACGCCGCGUGAGUGAAGAAAGGUUUUCGGAUCGUAAAACUCUGUUGUCAGAGAAGAACAAGUUGGAGAGUAACUGCUCCAGCCUUGACGGUAUCUGACCAGAAAGCCACGGCUAACUACGUGCCAGCCGCGGC